GACGAACGCUGGCGGCGUGCUUAACACAUGCAAGUCGAACGGAAAGGCCCUGCUUUUUUGGUGUGCUCGAGUGGCGAUCGGGUGAGUAACACGUGAGUAACCUGCCCUUCACUUUGGUAUAACUUCAGGAAACUGGGGCUAAUACCGUAUAGGAUCUCCUGCUGCAUUGUGGGGGUUGGAUCGUUUCGGCGGUUGGGGAUGGACUCGCGGCUUAUCAGCUUGUUGGUGGGCUAGUGGCUUACCAAGGCUUUGAAGGGUAGCCGGCAUGAGAGGGUGACCGGCCACAAUGGGACUGAGAGACGGACCAGACUCCUACGGGAGGCAGCAGUGGGGAAUAUGGCACAAUGGGCGGAAGCCUGAUGCAGAAACGCCGCGGGCGGGAUGACGGCCUUCGGGUUGUAAACAGCUGUAGCCUGUGACGAAGCGGGAGUGACGGUAAUGGGUAAAGAAGCACCGGCUAACUACGUG
rnacentral:rRNA from 1 species